GCACAGCAGAGCCGCGUGACACAGCUUACAGGGAGAAAACAAAACCUGCAGUAGAUUGCAUCUAUAAAGGCAGUCUAACUGCAGUGAAUGCACUGCGUGACUGAGUCUACUCAGCGCUGACACAGCAUCCGAGUGAUGGAAAAGACAAUGGGAAUAAUGGGCAGGGUAAUAAGACGGGACUGGGAUAAUGGGAGAUUCUGGCCUCUGCCUCUGUAAUGAGACUGUGGGAUCUGCGCUGGAGGAGAGGGAGAGAGGUAUGCCAAAUGCUGGAAAAACCACAACCAUGGAGAUACUGAAAGCUGUUGAAUGCUGGUGUUAGCUUGUUAUUGUUACACAGGCAGAGAAAAUGAGGAUUGAUAGUGUACUCAAGUUACUGUGUUGUGUAUGACUUGAGAACAAAAUGACGUAAAUAUCUCUUUCACAUUUGACACUGAAGUGUGUGUGAGCAGAAUUUAGAGGGGAAAACCAUGAAAAGAAAAUCCUUAUCUGAGCCUAUGUUAGUUUGACCUUUUGUAAGAAUGUUUGUCAUGUGUUGGAGCACAUGAGCAACUUCAUUAAUAGAUGCAAAACAGACACACACACACACACACACACACACACACACACACACACACACACACACACACACACACACACACACACACACACUAGAGUGGUGUGGAGCCAUUUCCAGGCAGGACUAUUCAUCUUCAUGAAUAAAAUGA